UACGGAGGGUGCAAGCGUUAUCCGGAUUUACUGGGUUUAAAGGGCGCGUAGGCGGCUUGAUAAGCGUGCGGUGAAAGCCCGGGGCUCAACCCCGGGUCGGCCGUGCGAACUGUCGAGCUGGAGCACUGUAGAGGCAGGUGGAAUUCCGGGUGUAGCGGUGGAAUGCGUAGAGAUCCGGAAGAACACCGGUGGCGAAGGCGGCCUGCUGGGCAGUGGCUGACGCUGAGGCGCGACAGCGUGGGGAGCAAACAGG
rnacentral:rRNA from 1 species